GNNGCGGCAAGAGCUCAAAUUUGAAAGCUGGCUCCUUCGGGGUCCGAAUUGUAAUUUGCAGAGGAUGCUUCGGGUGCGGCCCCUGUCUAAGUGCCCUGGAACGGGCUGUCAGAGAGGGUGAGAAUCCCGUCUGGGAUGGGGUGUCCGCGCCCGUGUGAAGCUCCUUCGACGAGUCGAGUUGUUUGGGAAUGCAGCUCUAAAUGGGUGGUAAAUUUCAUCUAAAGCUAAAUAUUGGCCGGAGACCGAUAGCGCACAAGUAGUGUGAUNNAAAGAUGAAAAGCACUUUGAANAGAGAGUUAAACAGCACGUGAAAUUGUUGAAAGGGAAGCGCUUGCGACCAGACUCGCCCGCGGGGUUCAGCCGGCAUUCGUGCGGGUGUACUUCCCCGUGCGCGGGCCAGCGUCGGUUUGGGCGGCCGGUCAGCGGCCCCCGGAAUGUAGCGCCCUCUCGGGGGCGCACUUAUAGCCGGGGGUGCAGUGCGGCCAGCCUGGACCGAGAGAACGCGCUUCGGCACGGACGCUGGCAUAAUGGUCGUAAACGACCCGUCUUGAAACACGGACCAAGGAGUCUAACAUCUACGCGAGUGUUCGGGUGUCAAACCCGUCCGAUCCUGAUGUCUUCGGAUGGAUUUGAGUAUGAGCGUAAAUGUGGGGACCCGAAAGAUGGUGAACUAUGCCUGAAUAGGGCGAACCCAGAGGAAACUCUGGUGGAGGCUCGCAGCGGCUCUGACGUGNNNAUCGAUCGUCAAAUUUNU
rnacentral:rRNA from 1 species